rnacentral:rRNA from 1 species
UACGUAGGGUGCAGGCGUUAAUCGGAAUUACUGGGCGUAAAGCGUGCGCAGGCGGUUUGUCGCGUCUGCCGUGAAAGUCCGGGGCUCAACUCCGGAUCUGCGGUGGGUACGGGCAGACUAGAGUGAUGUAGGGGAGACUGGAAUUCCUGGUGUAGCGGUGAAAUGCGCAGAUAUCAGGAGGAACACCGAUGGCGAAGGCAGGUCUCUGGGCAUUAACUGACGCUGAGGAGCGAAAGCAUGGGGAGCGAACAGG